rnacentral:tRNA from 1 species
GUUUUAAUAGUUUAAACUAAAACCUUGGUCUUGUAAACCAAAAAUGAAAAACUUUUCUUAAAACU